AUGAGAAAACAGAAGUUCCAAGAAGCUGAAGAAGCACAUGUGAGCAUGCACAAUUUGAACACAGCAAAGCUGGGAUUUGAACCUGGGUCUCACUCUCACCAUAGACUCACACUCCUUCCCUUGCACUAUUUGCCUCUAAAAGGCAGAUCCUUCCAUAGCAUGUCCAGAUGAACAUCAAAGAGGGCCCAAAUUCUAUUCUUUCUAUAGGACUUCAUCUGAGAAAUGAGGAGAAUAACAGCAAUUACAUCAAAAUGUCCCAAUGAGGAUUAAAGGAACCAAGGUGUGUCCAGUGUCCAGGAAUGAUGGAAGACUCCACAAAUGUUAGGUCUCGCAGAUGCCUGGAAGGUCAGAGUUGCUGGAGAACAUAGAGGGUCCAACCCUGGCUGUAGCUAUGCCUCACUUCUUGAACUUCAGCUGAGUAACUCAGUUACUCCUCAGCUGAUUUUUAUAAAUACGACUCCAAGGUCCUUGUUUGGACCUUGAAGCAGAAUCUCCAGGGAAUGGAGCCACGAAUUUGCAUUUUAACAAUUUCACCAGGUGAGUGCAAUGAUGAUCUUAUAAUCUGGUACUUCAUUGGUCUAAUGAAAUGUCUUGGACACUCUGAAGUGAAAGAUUUACCCAAACUGACACUCUGUGCCAGGGUCAGUCUUGCCACACUGCACAGCCCCAGUGGAUGCCGGUCGCACUGUAUCCUACACAAAGAUUGGUGGACCCUGGGUGUGCAACAAGUGGGCCCUGUUAGGAGGCAUUACCAGAGGGCACAUCUGUACCUUUGACCUUGUGGUCCAGAGCCAUUCCUGCUCCAUCUGAAAUGUCUCUGUGUCCCACUGGAUCUGCCUCCACUAUGGGGAUGCCAAUCACUGCAUUUAACCCUCCACUCACAAGAUUUUUUUGCUUGUCUCAUUGAACCUUUGGGAUAGGGUUUCUCAACAGUGGCACUGUGACAUUUGAGCUAUACAAUUCUUUGUGGUGGGGACUGUCCUGUGUACUGGAAAAAGUUUGGCAGCAUCCCUGGCCUCUACCCAUGAGAUGUCAGUAGCCCCUCCCUAGUCAUGACAAUCAAAAUCAUCCUCCAGAUGAUGACAAACAUCCUCUGGAAGCAAAAGUGCCCUCAGUUGAGAAAUGCUAUUUUAGGUUGAAGGCAGGGCUUCAAGUUUUAUU